GCUCCGCCGCCCGCCCCUGCCGUUGGCCCUGCGCGGCCCAGCCAGCGGGGAGGUGCGUUUGCGGAUGCCUGAGACCCAGGAAGGACGCAGGAAUCCAUCAGGUUCCUCCAUCAGCUUGCUUUAGGGAUGGGAAGAGACCAGGAGCCGGAUGGCUAAGGCCCUUCAGGGAAAGCAUAGGCAUUUCAAUGGAUACCCGUCCCCGCUGGUUUUCCCUUACCUCAGCCAUGUUGCUGAUGACAAUUGCCAUGAUGAUGCCAUAGAUGGCCACCGCUUCACAGAAGAUAAUACUGGCAACAGUGAUGUCUGUCGGCCCGCCCCGCAGCGCCACCUGACCGGCGCACGUGAUGCGCCGACCCCACGUGACCCCCGCGCACAGUGGCUGGCUGCCUGAGGCCGGGCCCUGGUAGACGUCAUGCCGCGGAGCACUGUGGUGGUUGUAGUUUCGUCGGACGUUCUCCGUGACAGGGGGCCGAAGCACCAUGGUUCAUGUUGGACUCACUACUGUUUCUAGCGCCUGACAUACAGGGGAGUUCUCAUAACAUGCACACAGAAUACAUGAUGGAUGCUCAUUUUAACCCAGUCCCCAUGUCAGUUACAGCUCUGCCUUUACCAUUAGCCUGUGUACUACAUGAUCUGGAUGGUGCCAAUAUAAGAUUCUUUUGCUAAUGUG